rnacentral:rRNA from 1 species
UACGUAGGGGGGCAAAGCGUUUGUCCCGGAAUCAUUGGGCGUAAAGAGCGCGUAGGCGGCCCUGUAAGUCCGCUGUGAAAGUCAAGGGCUCAACCCUUGAAUGCCGGUGGAUACUGCAGGGCUAGAGUCCGGAAGAGGCGAGUGGAAUUCCUGGUGUAGCGGUGAAAUGCGCAGAUAUCAGGAGGAACACCGAUGGCGAAGGCAGCUCGCUGGGACGGUACUGACGCUGAGGAGCGAAAGCGUGGGGAGCGAACAGG